rnacentral:pre_miRNA from 10 species
CCUGGAGAGGUGCAUGCAGCCUGGCCCUGCCGUCACUGGGAACCCCCUUCCAUCUGGGUACUAGACAGAAUUCUGUGCACUUUCCUGGAAGCUCCA